CAACCAUGCAUCAUGUCAUUUAUUCAAGUGACAUAUCAUUUUUAAAGGGACAGUUCACCCAAAAUGAAAUUUUUGUCAUAAUUUACUCACUCUCGUGUUGUUUCAAACCUGUAUGCCUUUCAAAUCUUCUAUUGAACAGAAAAGGAGAUUUGGCAGAAUGUUCCAUAUCAGUCACCAUUCACUUUCAUUGUAUGGAAAAAACAAAGAUGCACUGAAACAGAAUGGUUACUGAAGUCAAUCAGUCCAAAAAAACUUGUUUUGUGUUCCACGGAAGAAAACCACACAGAUUUGGAACAACAUGAGACUGUAACUAUCCCUUUAAAAAGAUGUGUAAAGUGUCAGAAGUGCCACUAUGAAACAUAGAUUUAUAAGGCAGUUUAAGGUCCCUGUUUGAAAGUCAAAUAGCCUAAUGUGGGAGCUUGUAGUGUUUACCAUUUCAACAAAAACAUUUAUACUGACAACAAUCAACCUUUUAUGCAAACAGACCACUGAGCCAGACCUUUGGUUCAUGGAAGUUAGAGUUUGAGGAUCUUUUGUGGUGGCAUAGUACAAGACGUUCUGACCAGCCAGUCAUUUUUAUGUAGCUAUUCAGAACUAUACUGGAAAUCUGAGUGUAUGUUGACCAAUCUUUACUUGCCUUGAGACGCUGUCUUUGAUGUGCACAUCAGUUGUUGCGAUGGUCGAUGAGGUCCAGUGGAACUUGAGUAUAACCAUGAGUGAAUUCUACCUGUCUCAAAAUCAGAAAAUAAAAUUCACCCAUCCAACAGCAGUGUGAGCAAAAAUGCAAAAUAUGGACCUGGCUCAUUUCCUUACAUUUGAAUAUGGCAUCUCUGGAAAGGCAUGGAACUGGUAGGUCAAGAACACAUCUGGCAAAAAGUUGUUUUUGUUGAGCUUUGUCAUGUUUAACAUUCAGCUUUACCAAAUAAGGGAUUUGCCUAAAAACUGCUUUUGCCAUUAUUUUACACAACACACAAAAAACAACCCCUUACUUUUAAACAUUAAAAUGUGAUUGUGGAUGUGCAACAGAAACAGUCUGGAACAUCAGCAGGUCGGCAACACUGAUGUUAUUUUCUGUGAAGUGUGAGCAGAUUUCACUUCUCACACAUUCUGUUUCUGCACAGUGUAAGCAAAGUUGAGUUCCUUACAGUAUCUGACUGCCAAUAUACAAUGUCCCUGAUGUGGCUUAAUGUCAAAAGCUUAAUAUGAAGUGAUGCUAUAUUUCUUCAAGACUUAUGAACUAUAUGGAUUUGACUGCGAGCAAAACCAUAGCUCUGUUUGAAGUAUUGAUUGGCUAAAAAUAAUGAUGGUAAUACUAGCUUGAAAACUGUCGGAGAUCAAGUUUUAAAUUUGAAUUUUCCUGCAUGGGAUUGUAGAACUGGAAAAGUAUGCUGCUGCAACAUAACAGACUUCCCAAAUGAUCUGUCUAAUGGCUGUUACAAUUCAAACUACAAGAUGCAAAUGUUGUGGAGUUAUAAAUGAAGUUUUAAAUCAUAUUUAAAGUGGUUCAACCAGUGCAUUCAAUAGCGGUGUUAACCACCAUGCAAACUACGCAAUUACGAUUUCUGAGGCCCGAUGAGUCCAGCCCGUGGGCCCCCUUUCGGCAUACAAAUGGGGGAAAUAACAUAAA